UGGGGAAUAUUGCACAAUGGGCGCAAGCCUGACGCAGCAAUGCCGCGUGAACGAUGAAGGUCUUCGGAUCGUAAAGCUCUGUUGCAGGGGAAGAUAAUGACGGUACUCUCUGAGGAAUCCCCGGCUAACUACGUGCCAGCAGCCGCGGUAAUACGUAGGGGGCUAGCGUUAUCCGCAUUUACUGGGCGUAAUGGGUGCGUAGGUGGUCUUUCAAGUCGGUGGUUAAAGGCUACGGCUCAACCGUAGUUAGCCUUCGAAACUGGAAGACUUGAGUGCAGGAGAGGAAAGUGGAAUUCCCAGUGUAGCGGUGAAAUGCGUAGAUAUUGGAAGGAACACCAGUAGCGAAGGCGGCUUUCUGGGCUGCAACUGACACUGAGACACGAAAGCGUGGGUAGCAAACAGG
rnacentral:rRNA from 1 species